GCUAAAUCUCAGGAACAGAAAUGUUGAGAAGGGUAGACUGAUGACUACCCCUCAGUGGAAACAGACCAGAUCUCAGCUUAUCUGGCUGGAAGGAAAGCAAAAAAAACAAAGCAAAACAAACCAAAAAAUCCUAAGAAACAAAAGACAGAUUCAAGCCAAUCUGUGAUUUGUAAAAUAAGCAAGGUGCAGGCUUGUAUACUGGGCCACAUGGUGACUUGGAUUUUUAAGGGUUACACACAUGAGGCAACUACAAUCCAGAGGAAUUUGUGACUAUCCUCAGAGGGCACAGCCAUUGAUGCCUCUUUCACUCUGCCCAUUAUGUCCCACUGAACAGCUUGGGUGUCAGAGCCAGCCAUUUUGCUCUGUGAGGAAGUAAUUUUGCAGUUGAAUUGGACCUGGUUGCAUUUUCUAGUCUCUGCUUUCUCCAAAUAUCCCAGUACUUAGUUUUUGCUCUGGUUGAAAAACAAAAAAAACAAAAACAAAACAAAAAAAAACCUACACUAAUGGACCAUUUGGAAAAGACAGGUAAUUAGUCCAAGUGAGAGUGUGUGUGUGUGUGUGUGUGUGUGUGUGUGUGUGUAAGAAGCUGUGUAUGAGUCUAAGGAGGUAAUAGUCUUGCCAAUACCUAGGCUAUCUCUUGAGAAUAGUUCAAUUAUUUACUGACCUUUAUAUUUAAAUUUCUAGUUUGGCCUCUGGCUUGCCCCUGCUCUUCCUUAUUUUAAAUUGGUAUCAAAUCCAGCAGAAAAAUAUGAAGUGCAGUCCCCAGGAUGCAGUGUAGUGGUCAAAAUGGAGGCUUUGAAGAGAGCCAGACCUGGAUUCAAGUCCA
rnacentral:lncRNA from 1 species